rnacentral:rRNA from 1 species
UACAGAGGUCUCAAGCGUUGUUCGGAUUCAUUGGGCGUAAAGGGUGCGUAGGUGGCGCCAUAAGUCGGGUGUGAAAUCUCGGGGCUUAACUCCGAAACUGCAUUCGAUACUGUGGUGCUUGAGGACUGGAGAGGAGACUGGAAUUCAUGGUGUAGCAGUGAAAUGCGUAGAGAUCAUGAGGAAGACCAGUGGCGAAGGCGGCUCACUGGCCCGAUACUGACGCUGAGGCACGAAAGCGUGGGGAGCAAACAGG